CGCUGAAGCACCAGCUUGCUGGUGUGGAUGAGUGGCGAACANGGUGAGUAAUACGUGAGUAACCUGCCCUUGACUCUGGGAUAAGCCCGGGAAACUGGGUCUAAUACUGGAUGCUACAUGUCACCGCAUGGUGGUGUGUGGAAAGGGUUUACUGGUCUUGGAUGGGCUCACGGCCUAUCAGCUUGUUGGUGAGGUAAUGGCUCACCAAGGCGACGACGGGUAGCCGGCCUGAGAGGGUGACCGGCCACACUGGGACUGAGACACGGCCCAGACUCCUACGGGAGGCAGCAGUGGGGAAUAUUGCACAAUGGGCGAAAGCCUGAUGCAGCGACGCCGCGUGAGGGAUGACGGCCUUCGGGUUGUAAACCUCUUUCAGCAGGGAAGAAGCCACAAGUGACGGUACCUGCAGAAGAAGCGCCGGCUAACUACGUGCCAGCAGCCGCGGUAAUACGUAGGGCGCAAGCGUUGUCCGGAAUUAUUGGGCGUAAAGAGCUCGUAGGCGGUUUGUCGCGUCUGCUGUGAAAGCCCGGGGCUUAACCCCGGGUGUGCAGUGGGUACGGGCAGACUAGAGUGCAGUAGGGGAGACUGGAAUUCCUGGUGUAGCGGUGGAAUGCGCAGAUAUCAGGAGGAACACCGAUGGCGAAGGCAGGUCUCUGGGCUGUUACUGACGCUGAGGAGCGAAAGCAUGGGGAGCGAACAGGAUUAGAUACCCUGGUAGUCCAUGCCGUAAACGUUGGGCACUAGGUGUGGGGGACAUUCCACGUUUUCCGCGCCGUAGCUAACGCAUUAAGUGCCCCGCCUGGGGAGUACGGCCGCAAGGCUAAAACUCAAAGGAAUUGACGGGGGCCCGCACAAGCGGCGGAGCAUGCGGAUUAAUUCGAUGCAACGCGAAGAACCUUACCAAGGCUUGACAUAUACCGGAUCGUUCCAGAGAUGGUUCUUCCCCUUUGGGGUCGGUAUACAGGUGGUGCAUGGUUGUCGUCAGCUCGUGUCGUGAGAUGUUGGGUUAAGUCCCGCAACGAGCGCAACCCUCGUUCCAUGUUGCCAGCACGUGAUGGUGGGGACUCAUGG
rnacentral:rRNA from 1 species